rnacentral:rRNA from 1 species
GAUGAACGCUGGCGGCGUGCCUAAUACAUGCAAGUCGAGCGAACAGACGAGGAGCUUGCUCCUCUGACGUUAGCGGCGGACGGGUGAGUAACACGUGGAUAACCUACCUAUAAGACUGGGAUAACUUCGGGAAACCGGAGCUAAUACCGGAUAAAAUAUUGAACCGCAUGGUUCAAUAGUGAAAGACGGUUUUGCUGUCACUUAUAGAUGGAUCCGCGCCGCAUUAGCUAGUUGGUAAGGUAACGGCUUACCAAGGCAAUGAUGCGUAGCCGACCUGAGAGGGUGAUCGGCCACACUGGAACUGAGACACGGUCCAGACUCCUACGGGAGGCAGCAGUAGGGAAUCUUCCGCAAUGGACGAAAGCCUGACGGAGCAACGCCGCGUGAGUGAUGAAGGUCUUCGGAUCGUAAAACUCUGUUAUUAGGGAAGAACAAAUGUGUAAGUAACUAUGCACGUCUUGACGGUACCUAAUCAGAAAGCCACGGCUAACUACGUG